AAAGUACUCCCUCCGUCCCAAAAUUCUUGUCUUAGGUUUGUUUAGAAAUGAACGUAUCUAAAUACUAAAAGUUGACUAGAUACAUUCAUAUCUAGACAAAUUUAAGACAAGAAUUUUAGGACGGAGGGAGUAUGUA
rfam:Hordeum vulgare subsp. vulgare, WGS project CAJW01000000 data, contig: morex_contig_94629